GCCCCGAUGGCCGAGUGGUUAAGGCGUGAGACGUUGGGAGGUCUCAUUGGGAAACCAGUCGCGGGUUCGAAUCCCGCUCGGGGCA
rfam:Caenorhabditis brenneri strain PB2801 C_brenneri-6.0.1_Cont20.20, whole genome shotgun sequence.